GGCACGUGCCACACAUUGAGGGCGUGGCCUCCCAGGCAAAUCACAAUCUUUAGCACAUGAAGUUUGCUAUGAGUGAGUCAGGUUCUCUUGACGUGACUUCUUCUCGUUUACUUCACGCCUAUAGCCAGAAUUUCUGUUUCUUCGUGAAUCCGGUGCAACCAGUUACCCUUUACCGUAGUGCGGAUUUUAUUUGCUAAACUGAAAAGAUAAGGUUGCUAUAAAUUUAGUUGUAGGGUCUAGUCUAAUAGUCCAAUAGGAAUUAAGGGUCUUCACUUCUACUUAUCAAAGACAGCCGCAAUGGAUAAUGAAACAGGACUGGCCAUUUUGAGUGCCGUAUUAAAUGGCAUGUCGUACCCACACCGAAUACUCACAACUGAAGACGAUAACUCGACUGGAAUUGAUGUCAAAGAUCUGCACAAGAUUUUGCUGACAGGAUGCUAUUACCCUCCGAAACUACAAAAUAUAACAGACAUUGCAACAAGUGAUAAAGAAGUAGAUAAAACGACCAAUACAACUGCAGUAGGUAACGAAAAUAAUCUAGUGCCCAGUAACAAGUGAAAUAAGAAAGCAAAGCACUUUGUUUUCAUUUAUCAAAUGCUCAUUAAUCAAUGAACCCAAAGAGUAAAACUUCAAAUUUGAAGAUGCAGAAAAGUUAAUAAAUCUCUUCGAAAUUAAA